GACGAACGCUGGCGGCGUGCUUAACACAUGCAAGUCGAACGGAAAGGCCCUGCUUUUGUGGGGUGCUCGAGUGGCGAACGGGUGAGUAACACGUGAGUAACCUGCCCUUGACUUUGGGAUAACUUCAGGAAACUGGGGCUAAUACCGGAUAGGAGCUCCUGCUGCAUGGUGGGGGUUGGAAAGUUUCGGCGGUUGGGGAUGGACUCGCGGCUUAUCAGCUUGUUGGUGGGGUAGUGGCUUACCAAGGCUUUGACGGGUAGCCGGCCUGAGAGGGUGACCGGCCACAUUGGGACUGAGAUACGGCCCAGACUCCUACGGGAGGCAGCAGUGGGGAAUAUUGCACAAUGGGCGGAAGCCUGAUGCAGCAACGCCGCGUGCGGGAUGACGGCCUUCGGGUUGUAAACCGCUUUCGCCUGUGACGAAGCGUAAGUGACGGUAAUGGGUAAAGAAGCACCGGCUAACUACGUGCCAGCAGCCGCGGUGAUACGUAGGGUGCGAGCGUUGUCCGGAUUUAUUGGGCGUAAAGGGCUCGUAGGUGGUUGAUCGCGUCGGAAGUGUAAUCUUGGGGCUUAACCCUGAGCGUGCUUUCGAUACGGGUUGACUUGAGGAAGGUAGGGGAGAAUGGAAUUCCUGGUGGAGCGGUGGAAUGCGCAGAUAUCAGGAGGAACACCAGUGGCGAAGGCGGUUCUCUGGGCCUUUCCUGACGCUGAGGAGCGAAAGCGUGGGGAGCGAACAGGCUUAGAUACCCUGGUAGUCCACGCUGUAAACGGUGGGUACUAGGUGUGGGGUCCAUUCCACGGGUUCCGUGCCGUAGCUAACGCUUUAAGUACCCCGCCUGGGGAGUACGGCCGCAAGGCUAAAACUCAAAGGAAUUGACGGGGCCCCGCACAAGCGGCGGAGCAUGCGGAUUAAUUCGAUGCAACGCGUAGAACCUUACCUGGGUUUGACAUGGAUCGGGAGUGCUCAGAGAUGGGUGUGCCUCUUUUGGGGUCGGUUCACAGGUGGUGCAUGGCUGUCGUCAGCUCGUGUCGUGAGAUGUUGGGUUAAGUCCCGCAACGAGCGCAACCCUUGUUCACUGUUGCCAGCACGUUAUGGUGGGGACUCAGUGGAGACCGCCGGGGUCAACUCGGAGGAAGGUGGGGAUGACGUCAAGUCAUCAUGCCCCUUAUGUCCAGGGCUUCACGCAUGCUACAAUGGCUGGUACAGAGAGUGGCGAGCCUGUGAGGGUGAGCGAAUCUCGGAAAGCCGGUCUCAGUUCGGAUUGGGGUCUGCAACUCGACCUCAUGAAGUCGGAGUCGCUAGUAAUCGCAGAUCAGCAACGCUGCGGUGAAUACGUUCCCGGGGCU
rnacentral:rRNA from 1 species